rnacentral:lncRNA from 1 species
UCUAUGUAGUAGAGAGCUUGUAUGUGAGACUUAUGCAUGGGUUUAGCAUUCUAAUUGGGACUUGGAAUCAUGCUCCAUAUAGUAGACAUGACAAAUGUAAUAUGCCUUGGACAUAAAUCUCAUUUGGACAUAGGAGAAUACAUUAGGCCAUAAAGUGGCUUUGGACUUGAAUAACUUGUGAGUUAGGGAGCUAAUGUCGUAAUGCGACAUCGGGCUUGAGCUAUGAAUGAGCCUAGCAAAGUAAUGCCAUAGAGAGGCAUUAGACUUGAAUGAUAUGUGAAUUGUAUGUGCAUGUUAAUAUUAUGAGAAUUAUGCUAAGUUGGUAGUUGCAUUGGAAAGUGUAUGCAUGUAGCAUUAUGAGAACUAUGCUAUGUUGAUAGUUGCAUACGGACGCAUUGAAACCAUAUGUUAGUGGAUAGAUGCAUGUUAAUAUUUAUAUGCAUUGUGGAAUACAUGCUAGGUACAUAUUAGCAAUGUGAGAUCAUGCUAGAGAGCAUGCGUAUUAACCUAUUAUUGAUAGGGUAAGCUAAUGUCAUAAAGAGGCAUUGGGCUUGGAAUUGGUAUAUUAAGCUAAUGUCAUAAAGCGACAUUGAGCUUGGGACAUGUAUGAACCUAGUAAUUAAUGCCAUAAAGAGGCAUGGAAAUUGGAACAUGCUUGGAUAUAGUAAUGUUCUAGUGCCCUAAAAAGGCACUAGACUUAGUGAAUGUUGGAACUUCACUUGGGGAUAUUAAACUAAACCUAUGAGUUGCU